UACGUAGGGGGCAAGCGUUGUCCGGAAUUAUUGGGCGUAAAGAGCGUGUAGGCGGCCUGGUAGGUCAGCUGUGAAAACUCGAGGCUCAACCUCGAGACGCCGGUUGAAACCAUCAGGCUAGAGUCCGGAAGAGGAGAGUGGAAUUCCCGGUGUAGCGGUGAAAUGCGCAGAUAUCGGGAAGAACACCUGUGGCGAAGACGGCUCUCUGGGACGGUACUGACGCUGAAGACGCGGAAAGCGUGGGGAGCAAACAGG
rnacentral:rRNA from 1 species